AGCAUAUCAAUAAGCGGAGGAAAAGAAACUAACAAGGAUUCCCCUAGUAACUGCGAGUGAAGCGGGAAAAGCUCAAAUUUAAAAUCUGGCGGUCUUUGGCCGUCCGAGUUGUAGUCUGGAGAAGUGCUUUCCGCGCUGGACCGUGUAUAAGUCUCUUGGAACAGAGCGUCAUAGAGGGUGAGAAUCCCGUCUUUGACACGGACUACCAGUGCUUUGUGAUGCGCUCUCAAAGAGUCGAGUUGUUUGGGAAUGCAGCUCAAAAUGGGUGGUGAAUUCCAUCUAAAGCUAAAUAUUGGCGAGAGACCGAUAGCGAACAAGUACCGUGAGGGAAAGAUGAAAAGCACUUUGGAAAGAGAGUUAAACAGUACGUGAAAUUGCUGAAAGGGAAACGCUUGAAGUCAGUCGCGUUGUCCGGAACUCAGCCUUGCUUUCGCUUGGUGCACUUUCCGGAUGACGGGUCAGCAUCGAUUUUGACCGUCGGAAAAGGGCUGGAGUAAUGUGGCACCUCCGGGUGUGUUAUAGACUCUGGUCGCAUACGACGGUUGGGAUCGAGGAACGCAGCGCGCCGCAAGGCAGGGGUUCGCCCACUUUCGCGCUUAGGAUGCUGGCAUAAUGGCUUUAAACGACCCGUCUUGAAACACGGACCAAGGAGUCUAACAUACCUGCGAGUGUUUGGGUGGAAAACCCGAGCGCGUAAUGAAAGUGAAAGUUGAGAUCCCUGUCGUGGGGAGCAUCGACGCCCGGACCUGACGUUCUCUGACGGAUCCGCGGUAGAGCAUGUAUGUUGGGACCCGAAAGAUGGUGAACUAUGCCUGAAUAGGGUGAAGCCAGAGGAAACUCUGGUGGAGGCUCGUAGCGAUUCUGACGUGCAAAUCGAUCGUCAAAUUUGGGUAUAGGGGCGAAAGACUAA
rnacentral:rRNA from 1 species